GACGAACGCUGGCGGCGUGCUUAACACAUGCAAGUCGAACGGAAAGGCCCUGCUUUUGUUGGGUGGUCGAGAGGCGAACGCGUGAGUAACACAUGAGUAACCUGCCCUUAUCUUUGGGAUAACUUCAGGGGACUCGGGCUAUUACCGGAUAGAAGCUCCUGCUCCAUAGUGGGGGUUGGAAAGUUUCGGCUGUGGUGGAUGGACUCGCGGCUUAUCAGCUGGUUGGUGGGGUAGUGGAUUCCGAAGGCUUUGACGGGUAGCCGGCCUGAGAGGCUGACCGGCGACAAUGGUACUGCGGUACGGCCCAGAAGCGUACGGGAGGCAGUAGGGGGGAACAUUGCACAAUGGGCGGAAGCGUGAUGCAGAAACGCCGCGUGCGGGAAGAUGGCUUUUGGGUUGUAAACAGCUGUCGCAUGAGACGUAGAGUGAGUGACGGUAAUGGGUAAAGAAGCACCGGCUAACUACGUG
rnacentral:rRNA from 1 species